UGUCAGUAAAGGGAAAGAGGGGUGGGGUCUUGAUUAGGUAGAGCGCGCUUCUGGGCUCCGGUGUCACGUGCAGGAGGCGGGAGAGUCACCUGAUUAGGGAGAACCGGUCUUCUGAGCCACUUCCGCCCUCACUGGUUGCCGUGGUAACAGGCCUCCGGUGGAGGGCGGGGACCCUCGGAAGCCAGCUGGGUGGCGAUCGCUUGUCUGCCUUGGCAGGCCCCUUGUGCAGUCUUUUCCCGGCGUGAGCGUGCAGGGAUUGAAAAGGAAUGCUUUAUGGUUCAGCAGAGAGCCACCACGCAGGAUGCACUGGGACCUGAGAACCGUCGGGCAGUCCCACGAGCUCUUUCAUGACCAGCUCCAACCGACAAGUACACGCCCCUUCGCACUCCACUAGCUAGUAAGCUGAGCUACAAGGUGUGCCAGGCACCCAGGACGCCGAUUCACCGCUUCAGUGAAGGCCCAGCUCAAAUGCCACCUCUUCCAUGAAGACUUCCGUGAUCCACAAUGAUAGCAUCUCCAGCAAUUGCUUCUAUAAUGAAUAGCAUGAGUCAUUCUGCAGGAUGUUGAUCUUCCUUUUUUUACUCCUAGACUGAAUUUUUCCACCACCUGGAUGAACAUAGCAGAAAGAACAUAGUGUUUUAGAGUCAGACACAAUAGGAAUCAGGCACUUUGGAAUCUUGGCUCUACCACCUUUGAGCUAUGUAUCCCAAGAGCCCUCUUUCUUCCAUUCACUUACCUGUCUAGUCAAACACCCAUCAGACCUUUGCCAGGUGUCCAGCCUGGGCACUACGUUUCAGAAAAUGAUGCACAUAGAAUCCCUAACUGAAAGGAGAUCGCAGCUCAUUUGGUACAAAGUGGUAACGGCAGAGUCCCAAAACACAUGAAGCAAGAACUGACAGAACUGGAGGGAGACAUCAAUCAAUAACAACAGUUGGAGAAUUCAAUACCCUGCUCUGAAUAAUGGAUAGAACAAUUAGGCAGAAGACCAACAAAGAAAGAGGAUAUUUGAACAACGUGAUAAGCCAAUUUGACCUAAUAAAUAUCUUUAUCUGUGAAACACCCUAGCUUUUAGCCUGGGUAAGGAGCUGGAGAGAUGUGAAAAUGUGGAAAGCAAGCCUAAGUCGCAGUGUGGCCUAUGCCUGAGAGCCAUCUUCAGUGCCCCCUUGUGGCUGUAUCUGGGAACCACAGACAGAAUCAUGGAACUGACCAUCUUCAGUCUCAAAGUGCUGCCCUCACCACUACACCCAGGGGCAGGUGGUCUUCGGGGGAAAGGCGGUUCCAGUUCCUUCUCCCAAGGUAACAACUCCCAUCCCAAGGCAAUGUUCACAGAACCUAUCAGAGUCCCCCCUGCCCUAUGCACAGCUUAAGACCAGGGUGGUCUCAGCUCUGAUCAGGCCACUGAGGGCAUCUGUCUGAGAUUUGGGACCCAGUUAUUGUCCCUGUUCUUCUUAGGCAGAUGGCGGAGUUCCCCAGUACACAGAAGGUGCUCACUCUUCACAAAAAGCAGUGCUUGAGAAUAACAGCCUACCUUGGUGGAGUAGCUUCGUUAGGGCCAGGGCUUGACUUGAAGCCAGAGACUGAGGUUGCAGUCCAGCCUUGGGUCAGCCUCAGGCUGGGGCUGGGGUGAUGCUGAGACCCUCACCAGAAAAAAGGCCUUUACCCCAUCCGAAAGGAAAUGGCUAUCCUCUGACCUGAGCACUCUAGCCUGAGGCCUGCCUGGCGCUAGAAGCCAGCCUCUGUUGUCCCCUCCCAGCACUCCUCCCACUGCUCUGCCUUUCUGCCCACAUAGAAACUCUGGAGACACCAGCUCCCCACCCUUCCAAGCUAAGCCCCACUGCUGUCUCUGCCUCCUCCAUCUUUCAAACCGGCAAUGUUUUUCCAAUCAGGCCUCCCUAUCCUUCCCCUACUGCUCUGCCCUUCACUGCCUUCCUUUCCUGGCGACUCUCAGCCGCCCUUCAAGGCCCAGCUCAGGCGUUCUUUCCUCAGUGACGCACCCCCGGGCAGGCUGGGGCUUCUGGCACAGCUCUGGCCACCCUGCGUAUCUUCAGCUGUUCCCAAUGUUUGUCUCUGCUCCCAAGUAGCUCUCUCACAGUUUCUGGCACAGAGGAGUUGGCCCUGAGGGGGAUGAACAGCAAGGACAGGCAGGACAGUUCUGGCAGUAAGGAAGUUAGAACAAGGUCCUUUGGUCUCGGCUAGGAAGGGUUCCCAGGUGCUUAGUACUCACUGAACAGAAAGGAAUUAGAAAAGAGGUGGCAUCUUGUAAUCGCUAGGGUGACAGCAGGCCAGGCCUCUGCCUUUUUGGUAGAGCUGAGGCCAGGGGCAGGGAACACAGCUUGAGUGACCCAUAAGGAGCCUUCCAGCUCAGCCACCCAAGGGCCCCCCAGCUGGACAGGAGCCCUUUACCACAUGGUAGGCAUCAUGUCAAGUGGCUCCCAAUGACCCCUGCCCCCUGGCAUCCAUUCCCUGGUGUAAUCCCCUCCCGUCCAGUGGGAGCUGGACCGAGCAAUGUUCAUUUAAUGAACAGAAUAUGGCAAAAGUGACAGGAUAUCACUUCCCAGGUUAGGUUAUAAGGGCCUGGGACUUCCGUCUUGCUCGCACACUUCACUCCACUCACUGGCUCUUCUUGCUAAGUAAGCUGGUGUGCCGUGAGCUACCCCAUGGAAAGGCCCAUGUGGCAAGGAACUGAAAGUGGCCUCUGUCAACAGCCAGUGAGGAAGUCAAUCCUGCGAACAACUGCAGGAACGGCCUUGGGAGUGGAUCCUUCCUCAGCCCGGCUCCAAGACAACUGCAGCCCUGUGAGAAACCCUGAGUGGAGGACCAAGCCAAGCCUCAAAUCGUGACUUGGAACUGGGAGACAACAGAUGCUGUUGGAAGCCACUGAGCUCUGAAGUAGUUUGUUACACAGUGACAGAAUCUAGGAUCUGGGGAAGGUAAACUGAGGCCACCAGUAAGCAUGUGCUCCAGGCCAAGGCUGAGUCUGUGCUGCAUCCAUGUCAUCAGCCACCCAAGAAAAACCAGUUACUCCACCUAGCUCAUGGUGGCGGCAUCCUCCCUGCAAUGGUGCAUGGGGGGCAGUCCUUUCCCCUGCAGGGUGUCAUUGCCACCCCCAUCCUCAUCCUGGAGGCCAGUCCAGGCUCCGAUAUGAGUGACUAGGGGUGAGGUAGGGGUGGCAGAAGGGAGAUCAAACUGGAGCAUUCCAGAUGCCUACUACUGCCCUCACACAACGGGGCAACUGUGCUCUCCAACUCCUCCCCUUGGCAGAGAAACUGGUCCUGCAGUUUCAGGACUAGACGAGCGUGGGGUAGUGGCAAUAAAGGGGCUUGUAUGAGAAGUG
rnacentral:lncRNA from 10 species